AUUGAACGCUGGCGGCAUGCCUAACACAUGCAAGUCGAACGGUAACAGGAGAGAGCUUGCUCUCUUGCUGACGAGUGGCGGACGGGUGAGUAAUGCAUAGGAAUCUGCCCAGUAGCGGGGGACGAACUCGGGAAACGUCAGAGCUAAUACCGCAUACGCCUACGGGAACGCAGGGCAGAUCGUUCGGACCGUUGCACUAUUGGAUGAGCCUAUGUCUGAUUAGCUUGUUGGUAGGGUAACGGCCUACCAAGGCGACGAUCAGUAGCUGGUCUGAGAGGACGAUCAGCCACACUGGAACUGAGACACGGUCCAGACUCCUACGGGAGGCAGCAGUGGGGAAUAUU
rnacentral:rRNA from 1 species